UACGUAGGGGGCAAGCGUUGUCCGGAUUUAUUGGGCGUUAAGAGCGUGUAGGCGGUUUGGUAGGUCCGUUGUGAAAACUCGAGGCUCAACCUCGAGACGCCGAUGGAAACCAUCAGACUAGAGUCCGGAAGAGGAGAGUGGAAUUCCUGGUGUAGCGGUGAAAUGCGCAGAUAUCAGGAAGAACACCCGUGGCUAAGGCGGCUCUCUAGUACGGUACUGACGCUGAGACGCGAAAGCGUGGGGAGCGAACAGG
rnacentral:rRNA from 1 species